rnacentral:rRNA from 1 species
AUUGAACGCUGGCGGCAUGCCUUACACAUGCAAGUCGAACGGCAGCACGGGAGCAAUCCUGGUGGCGAGUGGCGAACGGGUGAGUAAUAUAUCGGAACGUGCCCGGUCGUGGGGAUAACGUAGCGAAAGCUACGCUAAUACCGCAUACGAUCUACGGAUGAAAGCGGGGGAUCGCAAGACCUCGCGCGAUUGGAGCGGCCGAUAUCAGAUUAGGUAGUUGGUGAGGUAAAGGCUCACCAAGCCGACGAUCUGUAGCUGGUCUGAGAGGACGACCAGCCACACUGGGACUGAGACACGGCCCAGACUCCUACGGGAGGCAGCAGUGGGGAAUUUGGACAAUGGGCGCAAGCCUGAUCCAGCAAUGCCGCGUGCAGGA